CCGCCCGUCACACCAUGGAAGCCAGCUGUACCCGGAAGUCGGUGCGCCAACCCGCAAGGGAGGCAGCCGCCCAUGGUAUGACUGGUGACUGGGGUG
rnacentral:rRNA from 1 species